UACGGAGGGUGCGAGCGUUGUCCGGAAUCACUGGGCGUAAAGGGCGCGUAGGCGGCCUGGCAAAUCGGUGGUGAAAGCCCGGGGCUUAACCCCGGGUCGGCAGUGGAUACGGGCAGGCUAGAGGUAGGUAGGGGAGAAUGGAAUUCCCGGUGUAGCGGUGAAAUGCGCAGAUAUCGGGAGGAACACCGGUGGCGAAGGCGGUUCUCUGGGCCUUACCUGACGCUGAGGAGCGAAAGCGUGGGGAGCGAACAGG
rnacentral:rRNA from 1 species